GAUGAACGCUGGCGGCGUGCUUAAUACAUGCAAGUCGAACGAACAGACGCGGAGUUUGUUCCUCAGACGUUAGCCGCAGACGGGUGAGUAACACGUGGAUAACCCACUUAUAACACUGGGAUAACUGCGGGAAACCGGCGCUAAUACCGGAUAAUAUAUUGCACCGCAUGGUUCAAUAGUGAGAGACGGUUUUUCUGUCACUUAUAGAUGGAUCCACGCCGCAUUAGCUAGUUGGUCAGGUAACGGCUUACCAAGGCAACGAUGCGUAGCCGACCUGAGAGAGGGGUCGGCCACACUGGAGCUGGGACACGGUCCAGACGCCUACGAGACGCAGCAGUAGGGAAUCGGCCGCAAUGGGCGAAAGCCUGACAGAGCAACGCGGCGUGAGUGAUGAAGGUCUUGGGAGCGUAAAACUCUGUUAUGAGUGAAAAACAAAUGUGUAAGUAACUAAGCACUUCGUGACGGUACCUGAACAGAAAGCCACGGCUAACUACGUG
rnacentral:rRNA from 1 species